UGACGAGUGGCGGACGGGUGAGUAAUGCUUGGGAACUUGCCUUUGCGAGGGGGAUAACAGUUGGAAACGACUGCUAAUACCGCAUAAUGUCUUCGGACCAAACGGGGCUUCGGCUCCGGCGCAAAGAGAGGCCCAAGUGAGAUUAGCUAGUUGGUAAGGUAACGGCUUACCAAGGCGACGAUCUCUAGCUGUUCUGAGAGGAAGAUCAGCCACACUGGGACUGAGACACGGCCCAGACUCCUACGGGAGGCAGCAGUGGGGAAUAUUGCACAAUGGGGGAAACCCUGAUGCAGCCAUGCCGCGUGUGUGAAGAAGGCCUUCGGGUUGUAAAGCACUUUCAGUUGUGAGGAAAAGUUAGUAGUUAAUACCUGCUAGCCGUGACGUUAACAACAGAAGAAGCACCGGCUAACUCCGUGCCAGCAGCCGCGGUAAUACGGAGGGUGCGAGCGUUAAUCGGAAUUACUGGGCGUAAAGCGCACGCAGGCGGUUUGUUAAGCUAGAUGUGAAAGCCCCGGGCUCAACCUGGGAUGGUCAUUUAGAACUGGCAGACUAGAGUCUUGGAGAGGGGAGUGGAAUUCCAGGUGUAGCGGUGAAAUGCGUAGAUAUCUGGAGGAACAUCAGUGGCGAAGGCGACUCCCUGGCCAAAGACUGACGCUCAUGUGCGAAAGUGUGGGUAGCGAACAGGAUUAGAUACCCUGGUAGUCCACACCGUAAACGCUGUCUACUAGCUGUGUGUGUCUUUAANNNGUGCGUAGCGAAGCUAACGCGCUAAGUAGACCGCCUGGGGGAGUACGGCCGCAAGGUUAAAACUCAAAUGAAUUGACGGGGGCCCGCACAAGCGGUGGAGCAUGUGGUUUAAUUCGAUGCAACGCGAAGAACCUUACCUACACUUGACAUGCUGAGAAGUUACUAGAGAUAGUUUCGUG
rnacentral:rRNA from 1 species